GCAGUCGACGAUGAAUCCUCUGCUUGCAGAGGAUGGAUUAGUGGCGAACGGGUGAGUAACACGUGGGUAACCUGCCCAUAAGAGGGGGAUAACAUUCGGAAACGGAUGCUAAUACCGCAUAUCUCUUCGAGACGCCUGUCUCUUAGAUGAAAGGUGGCUUCGGCUGCCGCUUAUGGAUGGACCCGCGGCGUAUUAGCUAGUUGGUGAGGUAAUGGCUCACCAAGGCUGUGAUACGUAGCCGACCUGAGAGGGUGAUCGGCCACACUGGGACUGAGACACGGCCCAGACUCCUACGGGAGGCAGCAGUAGGGAAUCUUCCACAAUGGGUGAAAACCUGAUGGAGCAAUACCGCGUGAGUGAAGAAGGUCUUCGGAUCGUAAAGCUCUGUUGUUAGAGAAGAAUAAGUCGGGUAGUAACUGCCCCGGCCUUGACGGUAUCUAACCAGAAAGUCACGGCUAAC
rnacentral:rRNA from 1 species